UGGGGAAUCUUCCGCAAUGGACGAAAGUCUGACGGAGCAACGCCGCGUGAGUGAAGAAGGUUUUCGGAUCGUAAAACUCUGUCUUUUGGGGCGAACGUGAGUAUGGUGAACAAUCAUAGUCAGUGACGGUACCAAAGGAGGAAGCCACGGCUAACUACGUGCCAGCAGCCGCGGUAAUACGUAGGUGGCAAGCGUUGUCCGGAAUUAUUGGGCGUAAAGAGCGCGUAGGCGGGAUAGUCAGUCUGUUGUAAAGUGCGGGGCUCAACCCCGUGAUGGCAAUGGAAACAGCUAUUCUUGAGUGCAGGAGAGGAAAGUGGAAUUCCCAGUGUAGCGGUGAAAUGCGUAGAUAUUGGGAGGAACACCAGUGGCGAAGGCGACUUUCUGGACUGUGUCUGACGCUGAGGCGCGAAAGCCAGGGGAGCGAACGGGAUUAGAUACCCCGGUAGUCCUGGCCGUAAACGAUGGGUACUAGGUGUGGGAGGUAUCGACCCCUUCCGUGCCGGAGUUAACGCAAUAAGUACCCCGCCUGGGGAGUACGGUCGCAAGACUGAAACUCAAAUGAAUUGACGGGGGUCAUAGCUGUUUCCU
rnacentral:rRNA from 1 species